UUAUGGUGCUUAAGAACAGUCACUUUUGGGCUGGAGAGAUGGCUCAGCUAGGCUAGGCUCACAACCAAAAAUAUA
ensembl:miRNA Gm23766 predicted gene, 23766